ensembl:lncRNA
CUCUGGCCAGAUUCCAUUAUGGGUAACUACAGCUUUAUCUAUAUUCAAUGUAUGUAAUUGAGUGGCUGUGGUACGGCAUACUGUCAUUUGGCUUAAUUUCAAUCAACCAAGAUAAUUCUUCGCAUUUUCAUCUUGCUGUACGAAGUGAAACAGCUGCCACAUUCUUCUUCGUGGGGAAGCAUCCCAGAAUGGGUUGUCUCUUUUGAGAGGACAACAUAGCUUCCAAUUUGGCAGAUAUGUGGUAUGUCUUCUCAGCUUGGAGGCAAAGACCCCUGACCCUAUCCUCCAAAAUCCUCUCCAGUCAAAGAUUUGGCUUACAUACUGCAUUCAUCAAAGGAUUUGAACAGUGGGACACUGAAAAUUCAUGCUUUUACUACUUUCAGAGAAUAUGAGAAUUUUCUAUUUUGGGGAAAAUGUGUUCGCAUAUUUAAAAUAUGACAAAUACCAUAUGCUCACCUCAUAGCUUUGGCAGCGCUCAUUUCUCUCCAUGGGCAGACUUCAUGCUGUUAACAACACAAAAGUCUCAGAGUAUAAUGUGGUUCAGCCUGCAGGUAUGGCAUUUAUGAUUUGAGAGGGGAUGCUGUAAUCUUUGAGUUCCUGGAUAUGUGGAAAAUAUAACUGUGAUAAUUGACUUAAGCUAUUGUGAACCCAAGUACGGUUGACAGAAUAAAGUAAUGGAUAUCUGCAUGUCUCCAAAUUUAUUACCUUGAGACUGGUAAAGGUGUUUUCAGCAACAAGACUUGAACUGUCUCUUCCAUCUCACCAGGGCUUGGUUUCCUAUUUCAAGAGCAGUUAUCAGUACUUUGGUGAAAGCUCCAUUUGCUCAUGAUUAAAAUUUGGGUUCUGUAUGUCAUGGAGGUGGUACCUGAUGAGAACGUAAACUAUUCUUUUAAUCAUAUUUGGCAACAUUCAAGAUAUCUGCAAAGAAAAGUUAAACUGGCUCAGAUGUAGUAUGAAAUGAAUUCCACGCGUUUUCAAGGUAGGCAGGGUAAGAUCUGAGGUAGCAUUUCAUUUCACAGUCUCUCAAUCACCCUUUUAUUUAAUUAAUUUAUUUAUUUUGUCCAUGGCUAUUCUUCAUCAUCCUAUAACCCCUCUUGCAUCUGGUAGUUCUGCAGAACUAUUUGAGUCAAGGAUGCAUCAGAGUUACUGUAGUUUUCUGGCAUAUCAUUAAAAUAUGACUGAAAGUUCUUUCUAUAUAUUCACUGAAUUCUCUCUUCUUUUUGCUUUAUAUGUGAUAUUAAGAACAAAAAUGUGGAUUACUUAAAAGUGCAAGCACUCUUAAAUGUCCCAGAUUAUAUUCCUGAGUCCUAGAUCUCUGAUUCAGCACAAAGUUAUUUAAGAAUAAUUUUUAAAUUAUUUCUCUACUCCAAAUAUUUGCUGCCAACUCAAUGAAUUAGUUAUGUAUGUUAUUCUAAAAGACUUCAUAGGAGCUUAGAUGGCCAAGAUCAGGUCCAAGAGCACCUUGAAACAUCUGAAACACUUCAGUAUUUGGAUAAUUAUAUACGUUCGGGGCCAACCCACAUUUCUCUUUGGAAAGUGUUUCCCCUGCAUGGUUGCAGAAAACAGAUGGAUCAUAUGAUCUUUGCAUUUGGAAAGAUGGCAUAAUUCUGGCUGUCAGUUCUGUGAAGGGGGCUGAUUUCAGAUCCUUGUUAAGAAAAUAUGCAACUACACAGAGUGAUCUCAGUGGCAGAAUGUGAUCACUGGCGCCAGCUUUCAUGAAGAAUGUAGCACACUUGCAACUUGAAAUCUGAUGUACUGUGGCUGGAUUUAGCUCCAUUGGGUUUUGCAUUCAUUUUUCAAAUAAAUGUGUUUUAAAGAAGACUUCUUUUAUGUGUUUCAAGAGCUCCCUGUUCAUGAUUAGAAAGUAGAGUAGAGCAGUGGAGAAGUGGAAGAUGGAUGUGAAGGCCUUUGGGUCUGGUGGAGAUGUCAAGGCUUUGUUGGGUAUUUCCUUAUACUUGUGAAAGUUUCUCUGCAUAUUCUGUGUUGAAAUCUUAUACUUCUUAUUGCACUAUAUUUAUUAAAGAUGAGAGGUCUUUGCAACUGUCAUUUUCUCUAGAGACACUACUUGGACCCUUGAGAUUCAAUAUCCCUUCUCACUUUGCUCAGUGGCACUCUUGUACCCAGAUGUGCAAGCUUGGGAAGAAAUCUCAGGGCACUGUGAAAUGCACUACAGAUUUCCAGAAAUAUUGGGUGUGUGCAGUCGGAGCAUCAUAAUCAUCACUCCCAACUGAACAGAAAAGGGUUACCAUAGCUACAGAUCUUCAUUUCACUAUCAGGAUUCAAAGUAAUGGCUGUGGCUUCAGUUCUCAACUUUUAAUACCUUUAGUUUCAGCAGCAACCUAUGAAAAAACAGGACCUUGUUGUAGCUCAUCUUGGUCAUACAAAAAGCAAAUGAUCCCACAUGACUGGUUGUUUUGUAAACCCCUCUUUAACCAACCUUUCAUCCAGCUGAGAGAGAUCAUCUACCCCACAGGAGCAUGAGAUAUUCAGGCAGUGAGGACAUUUGGUGUGGAAUAGUUAUUACUGUAUCCUUCGUGGUACGUUCACCACUCUUUCUUCUGAUAGCAGCAUUUCAAUAGUAAGAAUUUGUUAGAAAUGUUGAAGAAUUCAUAAUACGUAAAAAAUACUAGGAAAAAAGAAAAAAAAGAAAAAUCAACAUUUGAACUAACUUCUCCUCCUUGUAUCAAUUUGUGCAUUUAUGGUGAAGUUCCUUCUCACACAGAUUUCUUCUUUGCAUUGUAG